rnacentral:sRNA from 1 species
UUUUAUUUUUGGUGUCUUUUAAGCUGAGAUUGGUGUCUUGCUUUUGUGUAAAAAGCUAAAUCCUCUCUCUCCCAUUCACAAACGUCCAACGCCUCCUUCGCUUCAUUCUAUCUCUCCUCUCCCUCUUCUCUUCACGCAACAGCGUCGACAAUGGGAGUCGAAGACAAACGACGAUGAUGAGAACACCAACGACCGUCAACUUGUACCUCCAAAAUCCUCUUCCCGUCCUCUUUCCAACUCCCAAGUUAGUUUCAACAAAUUCGAAGCUGAAUUAUUUCAAUUUCAGAUCUAAGAAACGGUAACCGCGGGUUUUCCGGCCAAUUUACGGCCAAGCUUGCCGGAAUUGGAGACCUCGACCCAAUAGGUUCUCUGAUAAAAUUGGUGUAUUUCUCAACGAAGAGUGACGAUUCGUCUUCUUCAAUGAGAGUUUAGCAGCUUCUAAUGGCGAUAGAGGGCGUCCUGUUCUUGAAGGGAAGCUCCAUUUUGCAAAGUUUGGAACUUAGAAAAUCAAUGACUGUAUAGACUUCAUUCGAUCCAAGCAACUUCGCCUUACUGGCUCCCAACAACAUGGAGCUUCUGGGCGCACGAAGUGCGUUAUUAUGGCCGCAGGUGGUGGGGCAUUCAAUUACGCAGAUCUUUUUAAAGAAAAGCUUGGGAUUUCUCUUGACAAGGCAGAUGAAAUGGACUGUCUUGUGGCCGGAGCAAAUUUUCCGCUUAAGAUGGGAUCCUAAUACCACUUACAUUCAAUCUAAUCCUUAUAUUCAGUACUUACUUUAAGCAUUUUGGUCUACUUACUAGUUGUACAGCUACUUGUGUAUUAAAUGUCUUUAUAUAUAUGUUUUGCAUUCAGUCUAAUCCUACAAGUGUUAAAUAUAUAACAUUUAGUACUUAUUGUAAGCAUUUGUCCGAUGCCUUAGCAAUUGUUGCUACUCCACUUUAAUUCUGGUGGACUAAUGAUCUAGCAUAUGUUUUUGCAUACUUCACUUAUAGUUUUCUUUUACUGUUAUAUUCUGCAAUAUCAAUUCAUGGUCUAGGGAGAAACAGAGAGGAAGAUUUUCAAAAAAGAAAUUUUUUAUUUUUUAUUUAAUUGCAAGUUUGCACCCUUUUGUGAUUCCUCGUUUUAAUGUUUCAGCUUGGUGGUGAUUAUAUUUUUGGGCUACCUAUUGGCUUUGUUGCAGAUUCAAUUGGAGCCACUUUAGGUGCAGGGGCUGCUUUCCUUCUCGAAAGAACUUUGAAGUUGCAGAAGGGUUGCAGCAAAUUUGUGGAGAUUUUUGUAUGGUAAGUUAUGACUGCAAACCCCUUGGAAAUCUACUUGUCCCAGGCUGCAACUGAUGAUCAGAUUCAAGUUAUUGAGAUGAUUGAGCUCUUGGAAACAAAGGGUUCGAAGACUUUUUAAAGUUUGCUUCCACCAUUUGUACAAAAUUGUAUAAAAUGUCAGUUAUGCAAAUUUAUAGUUGUAUUCUUAUAUUUUAAUGAUAUUACAAUUUGUUUUCUCACCA